GUGAAUGGGCUUGGUGGGUAAAGGUGCUUGCUUUGAAAGCAAGAUGACCUGAGUUCAAAUCCUCAGCACCCACA
rnacentral:tRNA from 1 species